AACAACUUUCCGCCCCUCUCAGAGCACAUAAUUUGCAUCAUCUUUUGCAAGCGCUCAUUACAUCCUACACCACCAACAAUCAACACGUCUUUCUUAUCGCAAUGCGCCAUGGCUCGUUCUGUAAUCUCUACAAGCAUUGCAAACAGAGUUUCCUGUAAAGAGAAACAAAGGUCAGCCGGACUGCACUCGUUAUUUUUCAGCUUCUCCUCAGCUGUGGCUUCAAUGAAGCUCAGUAUUCCACUGAAGGAAAUGUCCAUUCCCUUCACAACAUAUGGAAGUUCAAUGAACUUCUCACCUUUUUUCGCAAGCUGUUCAAUGUUGUACCCAGG
rnacentral:misc_RNA from 1 species